rnacentral:rRNA from 1 species
UACAGAGGUGGCAAGCGUUGUUCGGAAUUACUGGGCGUAAAGCGCACGUAGGCGGAUCGAUCAGUCAGGGGUGAAAUCCCAGGGCUCAACCCUGGAACUGCCUUUUGAUACUGUCGAUCUGGAGUAUGGAAGAGGUGAGUGGAAUUCCGAGUGUAGAGGUGAAAUUCGUAGAUAUUGGAGGAACACCAGUGGCGAAGGCGGCUCACUGGUCCAUUCUGACGCUGAGGUGCGAAAGCGUGGGGAGCAAACAGG